UCAGCGGGAGGCGGGUGUCGCGGAAGGGGUCGGAGUCUACCCCACGGCACCGUGUGCCGGCAAGGCUUAGCGAGCGUGUGCUUUCUCGUGUUCCUGUAGACGCUGAAGAGGAACCCGGCGACGCAGGAAGAUCCCCGUUAGCGCGCGUGGCGUUUUCUUCCGUCGAAGAUGGGUUCGGUCCCUCGGCCCUCUGAAAGCUAAGUGGAGGCACGGGGGCUGGGGAGGGGCCGGGAAUCGCAGGGACGGGGGGUUUAGCUCCGCUAAGGGCAAGGGCCGUCCAGUAAGCAGGUGGGGCGGUGCGUGGUGUCAAAGGGAAGAUGUGCCUCGUGCCUUUAUACUGUGCGCUCGCUCUGCUUAGCGAGCGUGUGUUUUCUUGUGUUGCUGUAGAUGCUGAGGAGGAACCCGGUGAUGCUGGAAUAUCCCUGUCAGCGCACGUGGCGUUUUCUUCUGUUGAAGACGGAUUCAGUUUCUUGGCCCUCUGAAAGCUAAGUGGAGGCUGGGGGCCUGGGAAGGGGCUGAAAACUGCAGGGAGGGGGGUUAAGUUCCGUUCGGGGCAAGGGUUCUCCAGGAACAGUCUCCCUUGGGCAGGUGAAGGGUCCAUGGAAUUUCACAGCGCGAUGCCAGCGUGCGCCGGGCAGGGCAGCUCCAGCCAACGUCUGCGUCGCUGUGUAGUUCGGGAAGCCUGCCUUGCGCCUGUGUGACGAUCCUGGGGUCUCAUCGCGUUCGAGGGACACAAAAGUUUACUCGGGUGCCAUUCCGGGAUCUGCAACGCCGGUGCCGAUUGGCGUAGCGCCAAUUGGGUGCCGGUUCUGUCGUAUCAGCAGUUGAAAGCGUGGCAGGUCCUUGCGUUUUGGAUGUUUCUGGUCAGUUGUGUGUUAUGGCGUUGUUGAGGGCUGCGUUGGCAGCUCUGCUCUCUACCCAUCCAGUCUUGGGGACUGGCACUUCUUUCCAGCAUCUCAAAGCGUUUGCGCCAGUGCCGCCGCCUCUGUGUGUGUUUGCGUCAGUGCCGCCGCCUCUGUGUGUGUUUGCGCCAGUGCCACCGUCUCAUAAGGGGCCGUGACGUUCGGCUCUCAUUUUUCUGGGGUUGCAGUAGAGGCUCCUCGCCUCACCACUGCCUCCCCGCAGGUUAUUUUUACUGUUGCCGUCUCUAGUUCGGAGUUAUUUUUGUUGCGGAGCAUUUUUGGUGUUAUUGCUGUCGGGUCGUCUAUAAUGUUGUGUGGAGCAUCUGUCUAAGCACGUGCGCGUUUGGCUCGGAGCUGCUCUGCCCGGAGGUGUAGAGUCAGGAGCGGGCGGACUGAGUUUAGGAGUCCACGAUUGAUCUGUGGACACGUUAUCCUGCGUAGGCAGAGGUUCUGUGGUCAUCUGGGACGGAGUAGCCAUGGGCAGGGGAGCGGACAGUCCAUUUCCCAGUGGUCUUUGGGACUCAAUUAGACCUUGUUGUGGGAUUCCUGAAUAGAAAGCAGACCUUUGGAAUGGUCAAGCUGUUGAUGAGCUCCUGGGUAACUUGUUGAAUACCUUGAUUUCAGAUGCAGAGGGACAACUCGGCACGAACGAGCGACGGAGGAGGCGAGCCGAGCGCCGAGUGAAGCAAAGUGGAAAGCUGGGUAUCGGCAGCGCAGCUCCUCUGGCAAGGCGUCACCAGCGCUGAGGGUUUGUGACCGCGCCAGCGGCAGGACACGCUGACCGGACCGCCCUGGAGCUCAGCAGGAGGUGCUGAAGAGGAACCCGGCGACGCGGGAAGACGGCCGUUCGCGCACGUGGCGUUUUCCUCUGCCGAAGAUGGGUUCGGUCCCUCGGCCCUCUGAAAGUUAAGUGGAGGCGCGAGGGCUGGGAAGGGGCUGGGAAUGGCAGGGACGGGGGGUUUAGCUCUGCUAAGGGCAAGGGCCGUCCAGGAAUCGCGCCCUUGGCGCGGGUCAAGGGCCUGGGGACCUUUACCGUGCGAUGCCAGCGUGUGCCGGGCAGGGCAGCUCCAGCCUGCGUCUGCGUUGUGGUGUAGCUCGGGAAGCCUGCCUUGCGCCCGUCAGCCGAUCCUGGGGUCUCGUUGCGUUCAAGGGGCACGAAAGGCCUCUCGGGUGCCAUCCCGGCAUCUGGAACGCCGGUGCCGAUUGGGCGCCGGUUUUCUGGUGUCGGCAGCCGAAAGUGUGGCGGGUUCUUGCCUUUCGGCCGCUUCUGUUCAGGGGUGUUUGCGGCGUUGUCCCGGGCUGUGCCGGCAGCCGUGCUCUCUACCCAUCCAGUCUAAGGGACUGGCACUUCUUCCCAACAUCUUGAAGUUUUUAGCCUUUGCCGCAGCUUUUUGCGCUGGUGUUGCUCUCUCUGUUUGUUGUGGCGGUGCCAUUUCAUAAGGGACCGUGGAGUUCUGUUCCUUUUUAUUCUGGUGUUGCAGCAGAGGCUCCUUGCCUUCCCACUGCCUCCCUGCAGGUUGUUUUGAUCGAUGCCAUGUCUCUUCCUGGAGUCGUUGAACAUUUUUGGUGCUGUUUCAGUCAUGUGGUCUAUCACGUUCUGUGGAGUCUUGUUGUGCACAUGUGCAUGUUGGGUGGGAGCUGUUGUGCCCAGAGUUGUAGAGUCGGGGUGGGUGGACUGAGCUCUAGGUGUCCACCGUUCAUUUGUUGACAUAUUAAAUUGCGUAGGCAAAGUUUGUACGAUCAUCUGGCAUGGAGCUGCGAUGGGUAGGAGGGUGGACAUUCCCUGUACUGGUGUUUUACAGUUCAUACUCAAGACUGUUGUUAACUAAUGUUUUCUGUAGUGUGAUGUUUUUUCAGAGCAUUCUAACUUUUUUUUUUUUUUUUAGGUGACCACAUUGUUAAUAUGACUGUAAAUAGUAUGUAAAGCUGCACAAAUCAACUACCUGUCUGAGGUCAGUACAAAGGAUCCUCUGAGAAUCAAGAAGACCCCAGACUCAGCUAUUGCUAUUGGACUGUAUUGUCACUUUUCCAUGUGAGAGAUGGGACCUGAGACACCAAUGUGAUGUUUACCGAGUUCACUUUAUUGUCGGACUUUAUACAAAGCUGCCCUCUCCACGUGCCUUGCAACAGUGUGAUUGGUUGUAUCACGUGCUAUACAAUAACGUGAUAGGCUGCAUGCACUGUCCACGUGCUCUGCACACGUGUGUCUGGCGCUUGCUCAUUCACUGUUACCUUCUCAUGGGGCUCGUUUUGUUUCUUUUGUCUCUGGCUUCACCUCUCAGCCAGGCUGGCGACAACCCCAUCCCCCCGGGGCGGGGGGGGACUCUGCCUCGCUAUCUCCCCCUCGUUAAUAUUUUAUUAAAUAAAAAAUACCCUGUAUUUCACACUGUCUUCAAAGCAUACAGAUUAAGAACAUUAAGGCUAAUAUAAUUACAAUUAACAAGAACAGUUCCAUUUUCAAUAUUCCUUUUAACCAGCAGGGUAUCCAACUCAGAAAACCCAACAUCUUCUGUUAUUUUAAUGUUCAGCAAAUCUUCUAUCUUAUGAAGAGUUUGGUUGUAUGUGUUGUUUGAACUUAAAAUAUAGCUGUGACCAUGGCCCAUAACACAAAAUCAAUCGCUGCUCUGUUUUACAAAGUGGUGUGACAAUCUUGAAGCACUGCCCCCCAUGCUUAGCAGAACUAAGACCUUGUUAUGCCUUAAACAUCUGGUUUUUGUUAUGUGGGGAGGAAGAGAGAGAUGACACCUCAUCUUAUCUUUCCCAAAGUUUUAUGGCUAUGAAGGCAGACGCCUUGGAAGAUAAGGACAAUUGUCAGUGUUGCCGUGAAAGGUUUCACGGCCUAAUUGGGAUGAUAGAGAUGAACCAUCUGUCGAACAGCCAACUACCAGAAGAGACCACGAACCAACAGCUACCCCUGAUGGGCAAGACAUCUCGCUUCUGCUCAGUACCGUGAACUUCUCCUAGUUUGAAGACCCCAGAGCCGUUCCAGAAGAGUCUUCCUAAUUAGCAGGAAGAGCGAGCAGAGGGAGGAGAUGAACCGCCUUCUACUAUCUUGCAUGUAAAUGAACCGGCUUAUUAAACAACCUCACGUACGAUACAGGUCACCAGCAUGUAAAUCUUCAACGCGUCCCCGACUCCAGAGGUCGUCACAGGACCGACGUGCCUGUGGAGUGGUGAUAUCUUACUCUUUGUCUCUCUCUCUCUGCCUUUCUUUUUCUGAUAUCUUAGUUUUCCUCUUCUCUCUCUUUCUCCCUUUUCCUUACAAUGUUAUUUAUAUGUUUAAGUUCUGCUGCUAAAGUCUUGUUAAGUUUCGCAUUACAGUUACUAAUUGUUGCCAAUCCACUGCUUUUAGAAGGGUUUUUGCUGACAAUGUAUUGAUAAGUUUUGUGCUAUUGUAACAUACUUUUGCCAAGUCACUGAUUGCUGUAAUUUGUAUACGAGCACGCUCUUCUAGUAAAUUCAUAA